ACACCAUUAAAAAUAAGAAAUUGUACAAGUGAACUGUAUUUAAAAAUAUAAAUUCAGAUUUGACGGGUAUUAAUUUUUGGGAAAAAAAAAAGCAAUAAAAGUGAGUAUUGACAUGACAGCUAAAAUUUACGUAAUUAAUUAAGUGGAAGGAGCUUGUGCGGAAUCGAUCACCCAAUGUUGACCAUUCGUUUGGAUUUCAAGCCCAUUCAUUUGAGCAAACAAAUUCACUGCUCUUCUUACUCCUCUAUUAUCAGCGGCGGUGAAAUAAUCAUGUCCAAAUAUUAUCCCACCGGGUCUCAAGAUCCGAUAUGCUCGGUUUAUAUCCGCCCAAGCCGAGUUAAAAUCAUGACCCGCGUCUAUCUCAAUUAAGUCUCCAUACACGCCCCACUCGCACAGUUUCUCCAGAGCAGAACCACUUGAAAACGGCACCGGUAAAACCGUUUUGCUGGCAUUCAUGUAAAUUACAUUUUGCAUGAACUGAUACAGCAGCAUGACGUCACCGUUUACUAUGUCAAUGUACUUGAACCGGUCACGAAACCCUGGCCACCCUCGAAAAUCGUCAAUACAAAGAAUUUGCGAGUUCAGUCCGAGUUUACGUGUCAACUCGGCCAUGUGGAGAGCCGACGCGCCCAAGAAAGUACCAACCUCUAUGAUCACCUUAGGCUUCACUUUUCGGAUGAGGUUUUCGAAAACGGCACCGUAGGAUCCCCAUCCCUUUAAUCUUUUGAUGCGAAGGAGACUUCUAACGUGCGGAGGGGGGAAAUUGUCAUAAGGCGAGGUGGCGUUAUAAAUUCGGUCAAUAAUCGUUUGACGGACGAGUCUAGAGGAGACCCGCUUAGCGCAAUGAGUCGUAACUCGAAAGUUGUCGAGUUGGGUGGGGAUGCUGUUGGCGAUUCCAAAGAUAGUGAUGGCAGGCUCCGGAGAUGAUGGUGGAGGGAAGCUGGGGGAUGGGGCUGAUAAGUAACCCAAGGCAUAGGCUAGCAGAAACAGGAUAACAUACGCCACGGGAGAAUGAAAGAACUUGAGAGAGAAACUUGUUUUCUUGCUCCCGUGUUGAUGAUGGAAAGGCUGUUGCUCUUCUUUCAUGUCUGUGUUGAGUAGUUUCUUGGUUUAAAAAUGAAAGAGUUGGCUAAACUUAGUGGUGAAGAUAAUUAUGUUAUAUGUAUUGGGUUUCUUUGCUAUUUGUUUAAUGUUGAAAGGAUUGCUGGAAAAUAGAGAACCAACAGGCACCAAUUUUAUCCAGUAUUAGAAGGAAAACAAGAGAAGAUAAGAGCCUUUAGUAAGAGAGAGGACGAUAGUGUUGCGAGAUUAAUACUCAGAUGGGGGAAUUGGAAAGGACCAGGAAAUGUAAAGGCAAAGCUACAGACGUGAGAACUGUGAGGGCCAUAGCCUGUAUUUAAUCAAAUCGUUUUCCGUAGUCUUUUGUAACUCUUAGAUAGUUUAUUUUCUUUACUUGGAACAGGUCCCUUGACAUCUUCUUUCAUUGUCAAAUCUUUUGUAGGUAAACAUCAACAUUCUGUAUUUUAAUUAUGGCAUAUGAGUCCAAUUUGGCCUUAAAUUCAAUUGUUAUGACGAUCGCUUUUGAAUAUCCUUAGCAGCUGGCUGGCACAUUA
rnacentral:misc_RNA from 1 species